rnacentral:rRNA from 1 species
UACAGAGGGUGCGAGCGUUGUCCGGAAUCACUGGGCGUAAAGGGCGCGUAGGCGGUGGCUUAAGCGUGUGGUGAAAGCUCGGGGCUCAACCCCGAGUCGGCCGUGCGAACUGGGUCACUGGAGCAGAUCAGAGGCAGGCGGAAUUCCGGGUGUAGCGGUGGAAUGCGUAGAGAUCCGGAAGAACACCGGUGGCGAAGGCGGCCUGCUGGGAUCUUGCUGACGCUGAGGCGCGACAGCGUGGGGAGCAAACAGG